AGUCAAGUGAAUAAGUGCAUCAGGUGGAUGCCUUGGCGAUGAUAGGCGACGAAGGACGUGUAAGCCUGCGAAAAGCGCGGGGAGCUGGCAAUAGAGCUGUGAUCCGCGAUGUCCGAAUGGGAAACCCACCGCAUUUUGUGCGGUAUCCAUAACUGAAUACAUAGGUUAUGAGAAGCGAACCCGGAGAACUGAACCAUCUAAGUACCCGGAGGAAAAGAAAUCAACCGAGAUUCCGUAAGUAGUGGCGAGCGAACACGGAAGAGCCUGUAUGUGAUAGCUGUUGAGAUAGAAGAACAACUUGGGAAAGUUGGCCAUAGUGGGUGAAAGCCCCGUAUUCGAAAUCUCAUCAGUGGUACUAAGCAUACGACAAGUAGGGCGGGACACGAGAAAUCCUGUCUGAACAUGGGGGACCAUCCUCCAAGGCUAAAUACUCAUCAUCGACCGAUAGUGAACCAGUACCGUGAGGGAAAGGCGAAAAGAACCCCGGGAGGGAGUGAAAUAGAACCUGAAACCUGAUGCAUACAAACAGUGGGAGCGGACAAGUUCCGUGACUGCGUACCUUUUGUAUAAUGGGUCAACGACUUACAUUCAGUAGCGAGCUUAACCGGAUAGGGGAGGCGCAGGGAAACCGAGUCUUAAUAGGGCGACUAGUUGCUGGGUGUAGACCCGAAACCGAGUGAUCCAUCCAUGGCCAGGAUGAAGGUGCCGUAACAGGUACUGGAGGUCCGAACCCACGCAUGUUGCAAAAUGCGGGGAUGAGCUGUGGAUAGGGGUGAAAGGCUAAACAAACUCGGAGAUAGCUGGUUCUCCCCGAAAACUAUUUAGGUAGUGCCUCGAGCAAGACACUGAUGGGGGUAAAGCACUGUUAUGGCUAGGGGUCAUUGCGACUUACCAACCCAUGGCAAACUAAGAAUACCAUCAAGUGAUUCCUCGGGAGACAGACAGCGGGUGCUAACGUCCGUUGUCAAGAGGGAAACAACCCAGACCGCCAGCUAAGGUCCCAAAUGAUAGAUUAAGUGGUAAACGAAGUGGGAAGGCCCAGACAGCCAGGAUGUUGGCUUAGAAGCAGCCAUCAUUUAAAGAAAGCGUAAUAGCUCACUGGUCGAGUCGUCCUGCGCGGAAGAUGUAACGGGGCUCAAAUCUAUAACCGAAGCUGCGGAUUCAGGAAUCAGACUACAGGAAUCAGGAAUCAGGAUGAAAGCACAGCGAUUCGAAGAUUUGCAGGUAUUUCAAAAGCGUACCGUAUCUCCUUAGAGAUACACCGCAGCAGUUUGGAAUUUCCACAAAUCGAACAAUACGCACUGGCCGAUUAAAUUAGACGCGCCAGCAAAAGCAUCUGUUCAAAUCUUGCUGAAGGCUAUGGCAAAAGAAGCCAGUCGCCAGCAGAAUUUAAAAGAUACAUCCUGAUCAGUAUCGGCUCAGCAGACGAAAUGCGCGUCUGGCUGCGAUACUGUCUUGAUUUACAGUACAUCAGCAACACGGAAUGGCAAUAUUGGCGAGAAACAUAUGAAGAAAUCGCCAAAAUGCUGCAAGGACUCAGUAAAAGCCUGAAUAAAUAAAGGCAGUUACUGAUACCCGAUUCCUGUAGUCUGAUUCCUGGAUGGUAGGGGAGCGUUCUGUAGGCCGAAGAAGGUGACUUGAGAAGGUUGCUGGAGGUAUCAGAAGUGCGAAUGUUGACAUGAGUAGCGAUAAAGCGGGUGAAAAGCCCGCUCGCCGAAAAGCCCAAGGUUUCCUACGCAACGUUCAUCGGCGUAGGGUGAGUCGGCCCCUAAGGCGAGGCAGAAAUGCGUAGUCGAUGGGAAACGGGUUAAUAUUCCCGUACUUUGAUUUAGUGCGAUGUGGGGACGGAGAAGGUUAUGUCAGCGGCCUGUUGGAAUAGGUCGUUCAAGCCGGUAGGUGGAAAGUUUAGGCAAAUCCGGACUUUCAUAACACCGAGAAGUGAUAACGAGCGUCUACGGACGUGAAGUGACAGAUACCACGCUUCCAGGAAAAGCCACUAAGCUUCAGCUAAAUCAGAACCGUACCGCAAACCGACACAGGUGGGCAGGAUGAGAAUUCUAAGGCGCUUGAGAGAACUCAGGAGAAGGAACUCGGCAAAUUGAUACCGUAACUUCGGGAGAAGGUAUGCCCUUUGAUGUGAAAGACUUGCUCUGUAAGCAUCGGAGGGUCGCAGAGAAUCGGUGGCUGCGACUGUUUAUUAAAAACACAGCACUCUGCAAACACGAAAGUGGACGUAUAGGGUGUGACGCCUGCCCGGUGCUGGAAGGUUAAUUGAAGAUGUGCAAGCAUCGGAUCGAAGCCCCAGUAAACGGCGGCCGUAACUAUAACGGUCCUAAGGUAGCGAAAUUCCUUGUCGGGUAAGUUCCGACCCGCACGAAUGGCGUAACGAUGGCCACACUGUCUCCUCCUGAGACUCAGCGAAGUUGAAAUGGUUGUGAAGAUGCAAUCUACCCGCUGCUAGACGGAAAGACCCCGUGAACCUUUACUGUAGCUUUGCAUUGGACUUUGAAGUCACUUGUGUAGGAUAGGUGGGAGGCUUAGAAGCAGGAACGCUAGUUCUUGUGGAGCCGUCCUUGAAAUACCACCCUGGUGACUUUGAGGUUCUAACCCAGACCCGUAAUCCGGGUCGGGGACCGUGCAUGGUAGGCAGUUUGACUGGGGCGGUCUCCUCCCAAAGAGUAACGGAGGAGUUCGAAGGUUACCUAGGUCCGGUCGGAAAUCGGGCUGAUAGUGCAAUGGCAAAGGUAGCUUAACUGCGAGACCGACAAGUCGAGCAGGUGCGAAAGCAGGACAUAGUGAUCCGGUGGUUCUGAAUGGAAGGGCCAUCGCUCAACGGAUAAAAGGUACUCCGGGGAUAACAGGCUGAUUCCGCCCAAGAGUUCAUAUCGACGGCGGAGUUUGGCACCUCGAUGUCGGCUCAUCACAUCCUGGGGCUGUAGUCGGUCCCAAGGGUAUGGCUGUUCGCCAUUUAAAGUGGUACGUGAGCUGGGUUUAAAACGUCGUGAGACAGUUUGGUCCCUAUCUGCAGUGGGCGUUGGAAGUUUGACGGGGGCUGCUCCUAGUACGAGAGGACCGGAGUGGACGAACCUCUGGUGUACCGGUUGUCACGCCAGUGGCAUCGCCGGGUAGCUAAGUUCGGAAGAGAUAAGCGCUGAAAGCAUCUAAGCGCGAAACUCGCCUGAAGAUGAGACUUCCCUUGCGGCUUGACCGCACUAAAGAGACGUUCGAGACCAGGACGUUGAUAGGUCGGGUGUGGAAGUGCAGCAAUGCAUGAAGCUAACCGAUACUAAUUGCUCGUGAGGCUUGACUCU
rnacentral:rRNA from 1 species